rnacentral:rRNA from 1 species
UCGCCUUUAGAGCGGCCCGCGUCUGAUUAGCUUGUUGGUGAGGUAAUGGCUCACCAAGGCUACGAUCAGUAGCUGGUCUGAGAGGAUGACCAGCCACAUUGGGACUGAGACACGGCCCAA